rnacentral:rRNA from 1 species
GACGAACGCUGGCGGCGUGCUUAACACAUGCAAGUCGAACGGAAAGGCCCUGCUUUUGUGGGGUGCUCGAGUGGCGAACGGGUGAGUAACACGCGAGUAACCUGCCCUUGACUUUGGGAUAACUUCAGGAAACUGGGGCUAAUACCGGAUAGGAGCUCCUGCUGCAUGGUGGGGGUUGGAGAGUUUCGGCGGUGGGGGAUGGAUUCGCGGCUUAUCAGCUUGUUGGUGGGGUAGUGGCUGACCAAGGCUUUGACGGGUAGCCGGCCUGAGAGGGGGACCGGCCACAUUGGGACUGAGAUACGGCCCAGACUCCUACGGGAGGCAGAAGUGGGGAAUAUUGCACAAUGGGCGGAAGCCUGAUGCAGCAACGCCGCGUGCGGGAUGACGGCCUUCGGGUUGUAAACCGCUUUCGCCUGUGACGAAGCGUGAGUGACGGUAAUGGGUAAAGAAGCACCGGCUAACUACGUG